UCCGCGGCGACGCGGAAUCUGAUGUUGCGGACGGCAAACCUUGGGUCUCUCGGAACACGAACUUCAUAGGAGGCUAGGUAUCAUUGGAUGAGUUUGCUAAACAAAACAAAGUCCUUUCUGCCGAAGGUGAUACCGAGUAAAUGAAGCAGACACAUGGAGGGAAAGAUUGCAUC
rfam:Caldibacillus debilis strain B4135 NODE_18, whole genome shotgun sequence.